UCCCUGGUGGCUCAGUUGGUAAGGAAUCUGCCUGCAACGCAAAAGACCCAGGUUCAAACCCUGGGUGGGGAA
rnacentral:tRNA from 1 species